CGAUGAAACAAACAAGUAAAGCAACAAUAAACAAUAAACAAGACACCAAGAAUUAUACGUGGAAAACCCCCUUUAAUGAAAGGAGUAAAAACCACGGGACCGUAGUCCACCCAAACAAUUCACUAUGAUAAAUUAUAUGGGUAAUACACCAAGUUCUUCUCCAGAUAAAACUAGAGGAAUACAAUCACCUUCACACUCUUGGAAUAACUCGUCAAGAAGUAUGGAACCAAAUAAGCAACAAAAGAACAAAGACCCACGGCUAGGUUCAGCCUCUCCACGGCUCUUUAGCUACUGCCCAGCCCCUCAAAUACACCUCCGAAUCCGAUCUCCACCGUUCAGAAUUUAGAUAUCGGUGUUAGGAAGAUGCUGUCCGAAAUUCAGGACGAUCCGACCGUUGGAACUCCGGGAAACGCAAAAACAAGGCAGGCAGCGCAACCAGAAAAUUUCCUGCGAAUUUUCACACAAUAUCUCUCUUUUGCUUAUUUUCUCUCUUGCUUAUUUUCACAAAUAUCCUCCUAUAUUUAUAUAUAGGGUUCCCUUUAUUUUUAUCUCCUUGUAGGCCAAAACAAGGGUAAUCCUAUUGGGCUUUUAAUCUCAUAGGUAGAAACUAAAACCCAACAUCUUCUUGAUCCAAGUCACAGUACCUUUCUUGCAUCUUAAAAUACAGCUUACUAGCAACUCAGGAGUCAGGAAUCAGCCCAGAAAUUAAUAAGAUAAAAACAAGUAAAGAACAAUAUGGGUGAAAUAACAGCAAGUUACUAGAUAGCUCAUUGUGAGUCACUGUACUUCAUUCCGUAAUGCAAGUUCAGAUACAUGAAGGCCAUACCGACUUUAUAGUCAAGUCAGAACUAAAAAAUAUGAGAUUUCAGUUGAGUAUGGAAAACAGAACUUUCUAAUUAAUACUGCAAAUGUUCAUAAAGUUGGCAUUACCAUAAUUCUUAAACAAAAUCCAACUAAUGUAUUCGAGUAUUCGACUUUAGAAUCUCAGUUGCUGAUCCAAGAAAUCUUACUCAAACUCCUUUCUAAUGCUGUAAAGGCAGGACCUAAGAGCAUCUGUAGUUACUUGCUACAUUCAUAACUGUAGUGUAUCAGAUAGAUUUUAGAUUUUUAGUGACAUAUUCCUGUUUAAUCAGAGUAAGCAUCUAUAGACUAUAGUUACUGUAAGUGCAUACAACCACACAUGUCAAAGUUAGCUCUCUAUUUCCUCAAGUAAAGGGACACUGUUUAAAAGAUCAAUUUACAAUUGUAAAAUAUGACAAAAUAAAUAAAAAAAAUUACAAUUGUAAUCAUAAAAUUCCUCGCAGAAAUUUCUGGUAAAAAGAAUAAUUUUUGAACGGCUAGGGGAACAAGGAGGUUAAACUAGGUUUUUAGUUAAAAGAUUGUAACCGAGUCCAGACUAACCUGUAAAAUUUAACGACAAUUUAUGUCAACGGACUUAUCACUACAUCACUUAAUAUUAAGUUUUUAUAGUGUAUGACACACAUUAACACUAUCUUUAUUUAGGUGGUAGAUUUUUAUUGAUAAAACUUUUUGUGCAGGGACAUCAUUAUUAUUUACGGAGUAAACUUCAAAAUUGUGGCAAAAAUUUACACCUAUUUUCAAAAAGUUGGCCAGACUUCCAAAUUCUCAGAACAAUGGCCAAAUUUUGGCUUCCUUUUUAAAAGUGUGGCUCCCGUUAAAUGUGUUGUUAAAAACUUAACGUCAACACAUAUAAACGGGUUUUUUAGGGGUAUUUCAGUCUAACACUUAUAAAAUAUACAUAUUAGGCAGUAAAAAAACAGAACUGACAUACUUUACCAUUUCUAAACCCUAAUUAAAAAGAAGAAGCGCGCGAGAGGAGUGAUUAGCAUGAAGGAAGUGAGUGCUUUGCUAAGUGUCCUGACUAUAAAGAUAAAUUUAAAAUACUGUGAGUGGCUAGCAGCUAAAUCCAAGGAGCAAUGGAGUAGGUGUGAAUUUAGAACCCUUUGCAAGAGUGAUAUGUUCGUAAACAAUCACUGCGAGGUGUUCAAUGCAUCCAUCAAGAAAAUCAGGCACCUUCCCAUUGUUACAAUUCUAAGGCAUAUACAAUCAGUUGUGAUCCGUAGAAUCCCAAAAAAAAAAGUAAGAGGCUGAGACUUGGGUUGAGAAAUUCACUCUAAACUCACUUGAGAAGUUAGUCGAUGGCAUGUAUGAACUCUAGGAGAAUGGAACUUGAAGAUGGCCUACAAAACUGUUAUUCCAUUGCAAUGUUUCAAAAGGUUUAUUUACACAUUGUUGAUCCAAUCAAUGGAAAGGAGUUUUGGACAAAAACUCCUUACACAUAGCCUUUGCCUCCCAAUAUUAAACCAAGUACAGGAAGGCCUAAAAUGAAAAGGAGUAGAAAAAAUGAUGCACCCCAUCCUCAUUUCACCAAAUUAAAAAGGCAAAAAACGAGCUUGAGAUGUGGAACCUACAAUGAAUGGGGUCAUAAUCGCAGAGGUUGUAAAGCAAAGAGUCACAAGUAGGGGCUGAGGCUAAGACACAAGUAGGGGCUGAGGCUGGUGAGAAUAAUGAAGUAAAUGAAGAAAAUGUUUGUGGCCAGAAGACAGCAACUGAAUUUGCUCCAGGGGCAUCUCAACCAACAGAUGAGCUCCACGACAGUCAGGGAGGUGUCUUUGAGCCACCACCAACUACACAAAACCCUUCGACAUGUGGUGUUGUUCCUAAAGCUUGGCAGAAAAAGCAAAAGGUUGUUACUACAAGGUCUGAGAUUCUAAGGGCAGGAAGUACAAGCGAAAGGAAAAUUAACAAGAGAUAUCAAGAUUGAACUUCUUUUUCAUGUUAAAUUAUGCAAACUUGCAAAUCUUGAUCUUUUGUAAUCUUUUGCAAACUAGCAGAUUGAAUUAUAUUUCGGUUAAAUUCAAAUACAGUUUAUUAUCAAAGGUUUAAUCAUUUUGAAAUGAAAAUACUCUUAUUAUGUUGCA